GCGGGGGUACCAGAGUCAGGUCAAACGUCAAGGACCAAAUGGGCGGGUCGCGCCCUAGCAUGCGCGCGCUACACUCAAGACCCCAUUUCCAAAGGAAGUGUCAAAGAUGAUGCUUCCAAGGCAAGGCGCGGGUGUGUUAUCCCGUGGCGUAGGCCUUCGUGGGUUCGAAUCCCACCCCCCGCACCA
rnacentral:tRNA from 1 species